rnacentral:rRNA from 1 species
UUGAACGCUGGCGGCAGGCUUAACACAUGCAAGUCGAGCGGAAACGAGAAGUGCUUGCACUUCGGCGUCGAGCGGCGGACGGGUGAGUAAUGCUUGGGAAUAUGCCUUGAGGUGGGGGACAACAGUUGGAAACGACUGCUAAUACCGCAUAAUGUCUACGGACCAAAGGAGGGGAUCUUCGGACCUUUCGCCUUUAGAUUAGCCCAAGUGAGAUUAGCUAGUUGGUGGGGUAAUGGCCUACCAAGGCGUCGAUCUCUAGCUGGUUUGAGAGGAUGAUCAGCCACACUGGGGACUGAGACACGGCCCCAGACUCCUACGGGAGGCAGCAGUGGGGAAUAUUGCACAAUGGGGGAAACCCUGAUGCAGCCCAUGCCGCGUGUGUGAAGAGG